CAACCGCCACCGCCCGAAUCGCCGCCGCCAUUUUUACUCUGCCAGCGUGCCACACGGCCCAGCGCACCCGAGGGCGCAUGCGCGGAAACCGUGGCCAAAGCGGGUCUGCGCCUGCGCGUUGUCGCUGAGACCAAUGCUCCUGGCAGCCUCUGGCGUUGUCUUCCGGGCCCAAGGAGGUCUGGCCGGGCUGUACCAGGAAAUACCUGCCUCUCAGAUCUGUUCCCGUGUGGCUGCACAGGACAAGGACUUAAUCCCUUGCUCUGCAUUAGCCAUCCAGACUCCAGGCUUUGUCGACCCACUCCCCCCUAGAAUGAAUACGCAUGGUCUGACUUAAUGCAGCCCUCCUUGGCUGACUUGGAACCCAUGAUGUUGUCCAGGUUGGCCUGAAACUCACAGAGAGCCACCUUACUCAGCCUUUCAACUACUGGGAUUAAAGUAUCCAGUGGUUCCUGAUACCCAGAAGCUCUGACUGGGCAGCCCCUUCUGCUAAUCCAGCUUCUGUGAGAAGGUAUCAUCGACUGACCCUCCGCUACAUCACUAGAGGCAGCCUCUGACAUUUGAGAUAUACUCAUCUGGGAGCAUCGGACUUAAUCAAGAGAAUUGCUUGUCAUGAGGAUAAGGUUCAUUAUCCCCCCAACUCUAGAAUCUCAGCCUUGAGAUGACAAGGCAAGUGUGGCUCUGAGCCAGUGAGCAAAAGGAAGGUUGGGAAGAAACAUCCCAGUCUGCAGUACAGUCUAAGGAAAGUGAGCAGAAGAGGCAACUGAAAGGAUGCCACCACCUGCCUUCCGCCAUGACACAUGGUGCGCUGUUUUAGAGACAGCCCCAGGAUGGGGGAGGGAAGAAAAGGCACUGAGGAGGCAGCUGCCAGAGCUCCUCCUUUACAACCCUUUUAUACUUGGAAAGGAUUAAGUAAAUAUAAACGCAUUCCUCACUCCCAGAGCCAGUCGGGGGACUAGAAAGAAAACCACUACAACUUCGAGUUAGUUGAGGGUUUGCAGUACAGUGGUUGGGUUCCAUAAAAACUCAAUUCCAUGACACCAGCAGUGUGACAGGCAAAUCUUCUCCUCACUGAAUUCUCUUGUUUGUAAAAUGGCAAUAAUAAUAACUCUGACCCUCCAGAAAGAUUAAGUAAAAUGCACAAAGUACUGAGUUUAAUCCUGAGCACUGCAUAAACAGACAUGGUGGUAGAUGCCUGUAAUCCCCCGCACUCUGGGGGUAGAAGAAGGAGGAGCAGAAGUUCAAGGUUCUGUGUAUAUAACCGCAGCUAUAAGCACAUCAAGUUUAAGGGGAACUGCUGUGGAAUAAUCCUUCUGCACACUGUGAAAAUGUACUCCUCUCAUUGGUUAGUAAAGAGCCGACUGGCCUAUAGCUGGGCAGGAGAGCCAAUCUGAGAAUGCUGGGCAGAAGAAGGAUGGAGUCGGGAGUCGCCAGCUGU